GUCUUUUAGAGAUCCCUCCUCUGGAGUUUUGCAGUGAGCCUAGGAUGUAGGGUUGUUAGAGCACAAAUGUUCAUGCAUUUUUAUGCAAGCAUUUCACAAGCAUGUGACACACUAGCUACAAAUCUGCAUUUACAACUUGGUAUCUCUGGUGGUGCCCAGGAAAUGGAAGUACCGUAGCUUAGUCUCCAAGUUGGAUGGCAGUAAGGAGCAAAGAAAGAUGUGGGACAACAUGGUCCACCAUUGCAGCAUAUCACUGUGUCAGUAUAAAGGAUUUACUAAAAGGGCUGGAACUGGAUUUGAGAGAGAACAACAGAAUGAGCUAUUGCUGCUUUUCUAUGUCUGUGACACAGUGGCAGUGCAAUAGAUAUACUAAGGUAGUAUGGUACACUGUGGCCAAAUUCAGACACUUUGAGGAGUCCACAAAGUGCUGAUCUCAUGAACUGAAGCAAGCAUGUUGGGUUAGGCAGUACAUCCUCAGUAAAUCUGUGCUUGAUGUAUCUCUACACUGAAGCUUGAACAUAUCACCAUAUGCUGAAUCAUCCAUUUAGAUAUAAAAGUUUAAUGUGUACAUUGAUUAUAAAAAAAAGUCUGACCUAGCUGGAUAAAAACUGUAAGGGAUAGAAACAAUUGUGUUUCAGAUCAUAGCAUAUUCAUUAACUGAUAGGGUUAAUUAGAAAGGUAUAUUAUAGAUAGUUAAUUCCAUAAUUUUUCACUGUAGUUUUGUCUUCAUAAAAUUACUGGGAAGUGAUCAUCAUAAAAUACGUAAUGAUUCAAAUUGCUAGUUGAUAUGGUUAUGGCAGUCUUUGUAUUCGUGUUUGACUAAGUCUUGCUGGUACAUGCAAGCAUUUAAAGUACACACAAACUUAACGGUAGGUAUGAAAGGCUGUUGGUAAAAUUUCUGAUUUCCCACAGUCAAUAGCUGAAGACAAAUUGACUUCAAUGGGAAAAGAGUAAUUCCCUUCCUCUAACAGACAGUCAUACCCUUCACAAACUUGAAUGCCUUUUAUAUGGUAGAUCAUGGGAAUUGAGGCUACGAGUACUCUGAAGAAUAUCACCCUAACUGUGAAUAUAACAUGACUUCCUCCAGUGCUACCAUAAGACUAUUUAUUUUAAUCCCCAAAAUCUGUGUUGAUGUCAUAUAUUAUGAAUAAAAUAAAAACUAUGUAUAGGCAACCUUACAAUUUAAUAGCUCAGCAGGAUGUAAAACUAUUCACUAUACUUUGCUUGAAUGAAUCAACCUGUUUCCUGAGUGAAGUUAUAAUAGCACUAAAUGUUUUUAAUAAUGUCUGAAGAAAGCUAGUUCCAAACUGUGUUUAGAUUUAAAUGUAAUGUUUUGAUUCUGAGAGAAAUGAGUAACUAUAAAUGUAUAUCAUCUGUCAAAGACACAGAAUAGAGAAGUUAUUUGGUACCAUAGGAGAAAAGAGUCCAACAACUUGUAAAAAGUGAUAAGAAUAAAAAUAGUCUGCAAUAUUUUAAUAGAUACUAAUUUUAUGUAUAAACUUUGUGAUUUGAUUUGUUAAUUUUCCGGUUUACAGAUCAUGUAAUAUGCAGGGUUGAGCAAAAUUGUAAAGACUCUUGAAAAAAAAUUUGCAAUUUUAUUUGACAAAUUCAUCUCUGAAAAACUUUCUUUCAAUGGCUUUCAUGCAGCAAGACCUCUGCAAUAAAAGCACUGAUCAUGCACCAUGGACCCACCAUGGAGUUUCCUCAACUGCAAAGUCUGUGAGAUCACUGUGUGCUUGAGUCUCAUCAUCUUCAUUGCUGCUCAGAUCUUUGUGUCUGCCGUACCUGCAUGGUACAUACAGACUUUUGUGGUUCACAUCUUUUGAAAACUCACUAUUUUCAGCAGAGGUUUUACAUUUCAUGUUUGUAUUGGGAACCUAUAAAUCAGUUGAAGAAUGACUGUGUGGUCCUUCUAUGCCAUAAAUUAAGUUAAAUUAAGCUGUUUGGGAUGUUUUACUAGUAACAGGUGUGUGUACUUAAGAUAGAAUUAAAGAAACUUCAGAAUACGUAAGAAAAACAAACUCCAGCAAUUUCAGCUGUGUUUCUAGUGCAUGUUAAAAGCAUAUUAUCCAAUACUGUUUAUUUUUUUCCAUGUAAGAAUAAUGUAAUUUACUACAGGAAUCCAAACACACUUCAUUCAAAUAAAGUUUAGAUUUUACAUCUUCUAGCAUGUCACCAAAAAAAAUUGCAUGAAAUACACUGACGUAAAAUACAUAUACAAAUUUUCUUCUGAAAUUAGCCAGCCUUUGAUGAGUUAUUAUUAUAAACAAGAAUGCAUCAUAUAUACAGAGAAAAUUGUUUGUCAGCUGCCUGGCUCUGAGUGGGUAUAGCGACGUACUUUUUGCAAUUGCUUCACUGCUGUGCUUAAGCACCUCUGAUCCUGCUUUAAACAAUGAAGAAUUUGCAGGAAAAAGCCUUAAGACACUUGGGAUGUCACUUUUCAAAGGCAUCCUUAGCUGCUUUAUAGGCACGAUCCAGUCAUAUAACAAAGUUGUUGCUAAACUUUAA